AUUGAACGCUGGCGGCAGGCCUAACACAUGCAAGUCGAACGAGCGGCGGACGGGUGAGUAAUGUAUGGGGAUCUGCCUGAUAGAGGGGGAUAACUACUGGAAACGGUGGCUAAUACCGCAUACUAUCGGAUGCACCCAUAUGGGAUUAGCUGGUGGGUGGGGUAAAGGCUCACCAAGGCGACGAUCUCUAGCUGGUUUGAGAGGAUGAUCAUCCUCACUGGGACUGAGACACGGCCCAGACUCCUCCUUGACUCAUCAUUUUCUAAUAUUGCACAGUUGGCGCAAGCCUGAUCCAGCCAUGCCGCGUGUAUGAAGAAUUCCUUAGGGUUUUAAAGUACUUUCAGCGGGGAGGCGUUACCCGCAGAAGAAGCACCGGCUAACUCCGUGCCAGCAGCCGCGGUAAUAC
rnacentral:rRNA from 1 species